UACGAGGGGGCAAGCGUUGUUCGGAAUUACUGGGCGUAAAGGGCGCGUAGGCGGCUUAUCAAGUCAGGCGUGAAAUUCCCGGGCUCAACCUGGGGGCUGCGCUUGAUACUGAUGAGCUUGAAUGCGGGAGAGGUUGGUGGAAUUCCGAGUGUAGAGGUGAAAUUCGUAGAUAUUCGGAGGAACACCAGAAGCGAAGGCGGCCAACUGGCCCGAUACUGACGCUGAGGCGCGAAAGCGUGGGGAGCAA
rnacentral:rRNA from 1 species